rnacentral:rRNA from 1 species
AGCGAACGCUGGCGGCAGGCUUAACACAUGCAAGUCGAGCGGGCGUAGCAAUACGUCAGCGGCAGACGGGUGAGUAACGCGUGGGAACAUACCUCUUGGUUCGGAACAACACAGGGAAACUUGUGCUAAUACCGGAUAAGCCCUUACGGGGAAAGAUUUAUCGCCGAGAGAUUGGCCCGCGUCUGAUUAGCUAGUUGGUGAGGUAACGGCCCACCAAGGCGACGAUCAGUAGCUGGUCUGAGAGGAUGAUCAGCCACAUUGGGACUGAGACACGGCCCAAACUCCUACGGGAGGCAGCAGUGGGGAAUAUUGGACAAUGGGCGCAAGCCUGAUCCAGCCAUGCCGCGUGAGUGAUGAAGGCCCUAGGGUUGUAAAGCUCUUUUGUGCGGGAAGAUAAUGACGGUACCGCAAGAAUAAGCCCCGGCUAACUUCGUGCCAGCAGCCGCAGUAAG